CAGGUCCUCAUAUUUUCUGAACCAGAUUUUAGUGUGUUUUAUAUUCUUAAUUAAUUGUCUAAGAGCUGAAACUCUGUAAUAAUCUUUACUAUUUAUCUGGCAUUGUAUGCUCAGAGUUUUAUCCACAAAAAGUGCUGAUAAUGUUAUAAUUAAUUAGUUCUGACAUUAUAUUUUUGUGUUUUGUUGCAGAAACCAACUGUUGAGGUUCCAUCUCAACAUUCUCCAGAUUCAGAUGUGAGCCAUUAACUGACUUCAUCCCUCCAACAGAAACCAACUGUUGAGGUUCUAUCUCAACAUUCUCUAGAUUCAGAUGACAGCCAUAAACCGACUUCAUCCCUCCAACAGAUUGACAGCAGGACAAAUCGCUGGAAGUGGGUAUGUCUCAAGCUUCUUCCACUUGGUCCACUCCAAAGCGGGCUGCAAAGGGGAAGAAGUGGAAGCAGUUGAAUGACACAUGUUGCAUUUUGUAACUGGCAACAAAGUACCAGGUAAAAAAGAUUGUGAAGCCUGCCUCCAUAAAGAACUAGUAGCUCUACAGGACAGAGAUUGGCUUGCCAUCAAGUACUACAUCCAUAACAGAAUUAUAUUAAAAAAAGGGGAAAAAAAUGUUUUCCCACAUCUUCUGUGGUAGUUUGAGUAUGUUACCAGCAAUUAAAAAAGCAAAAUAAA